UGUUUUAAUCCUUUUGCUCCUCAUAGUGGAUUGGAUUAAAUUGGAUCCAGUAAAUGAGAGUUGAAUUCAAUUCAAUGUAACAUUUGCACUGUGGUUUAGACAGUAUGUUCAGAAACAAAAAAAAAGUCAAUGAAAUUAUUUAUAGUACCAAGGAUUCCUUAUCAUGGAUUUGAUUCACCUGUACUUCCAAAUUGAGGAGGAAAAAACGUGGUAUAUUCAUUACUUAAUGACAUUAAACUCUAUGUCUGAAGCAUCUGGAAAGAAAUCCAGCUGUCAUAUUUCACCUGACAAAAUCAAGAGGACUGAAAAUGAAGAUUGUUAACAACAGCAAACACUACCCUGUUUCACUACUUAAUAUAGUUAAUUGUCAAAUACCCUAUAAUGUUAAUGUCAUUAUUUUACAGAGAAAGAAACUGAGGUGCGGAGAGGUUGCCCGACUUGUGCAAAGUCAUGUGACCAGUUGGGGCAGAACCUAGAUGUGAAUCGUGAAUUUUGGUGGCAGACUCUCCGCUGUGGGCUCCUUCACAGCAGCAGUGAAGUAGUUGAGUAGAUGGAUGGAGGAAAUGGAAGAAGAUGUUUCACAUCAGAAAAAACAGUAAGAAAGAAUACAGAGAAGGAUAAGUUCAAGCCCUUUAGGGACACAGUGGAGAUAUCAGAGGAGCUAGAAUGGAAAUAUAUUGUGCUGGUAUGGGGGGCAAUCUAGAAAAGAUGGAUGACAGAGGUAUGAACUUGGACCCUUAAAGCAUCAGCGGUAGUGGGAAGCUACUCAAAACUGUUGAGCUCGUAGGUGACAAGAGUAGAAAUCUUCCUGGUUCCCACUUCACCAAGAAUUGGCCUCAGAACUUGGAAUUUCAUUUUGCCUGUUACUAAAUCAAAAAUCAAUCCCAUAUAUGAUUCUUUGGAUUUCAAGAAAUCAUACAAUAAUGUUUAUGUUCUUUAAAAAAAAAUAUAUAUAUAUAUAUAUAUAUAUAUAUAAGCUUGGCUCCAACACUUCCCUACAUAUGUAUGUAUAUAGGGAAGUGUUGGAGCCAGGCACACACCUUGGAGUCGAUGCACGUGGACACUGGGGAAGCCCAAACCUGGGUAAGGUCACCUGGAGAGUGAGCAUGGACAGAGAAGAAGAGGUCUGUAUGCUGAUCCCCAGGCAGAGUCUGGGGGGAUGAGGAGAAGCAUCUAAAGAAUCCAGGACAGAAUGGCCAGUGGGGUAGGAGGAAAGCCAGAGAGAAAAGUGUUUCAAGGAAAGGAAGUUAUCAGCUGGGUCAGGUGCUGCUAACUGGGCAGAUCAGAUGAGGCCUGAGAAAUGGACCCAGGACAUAGCCACCUGGAGGUCAUUGUGACAUGGAGAAGAGCAGCAAAGAGCAAAAGGAGAGAAGUGGCUGAGUGAACGUAAGAGGCUGGACCAGUCCUCAUUUUAGCAAAGCCCUUGGCCUGGCAUCUUCUUUUUGCGAAGAAGCCUUUGCAUGGCUGUAACCAUGUGUUCAUUGGUGGCUUCCAGUGUUUUCUUGCUGGUGAAGUCAUUGGUUGAACCGUCCUUUGGGCCAAAGCAUGAUGGCGGAUGCUGUGCUAGGCUGAUUGGGCAGAGGAAAUUCAGGGCAAUAGGAGACAUCAUAGCCAGUCUCCACGGUGUCCCCCACACUGCCCUUUCACUGGUUCCUGGAAACAGCGUCUCUGUGGUUUGGAGGCAGCUGAGUUCGCCUCAUUCUCAAUCCAGAGUGAGCAGCUGACCCGGGGCUCAUUAGCCAGAUUGUUCCAUUUUCCUGCCCCGGUGAUUGGUUCUAGUACCAUGAAGCCACCAUCAUGCCAAAAAUCUCUGGCUUCUGUCACCUCCUCCUGCAGGUGUGCCUGGCUUGGGGAGAAGCAGGGCACAAGUGGGCUGGGAUGGGAGAAGUCUCCAGCUCCCCCUAGGGACCCCAAACUGUCAAUAUACACAGUCAGGAGGCUGUGUACCUGGGGGGCAGGAAGCAAAUGGCGGGCUCCAUCCAUCAACAAGUGGGCCGCUGUUACUGCAGGGAGACCCCAGCAGAAGGGCCCAUGGAGAGCCUCCCUUUCCGGCUGGGCCCAACAGCUGACUGGGUACUUCAUGGAGUGACCUCAGGAGCAACUGGGCUGUUUUGCAUUAUCAGCAUUCACUGCAGAGCCGCAUGAUAAAUGACGGCCUGUUUCCUCACUUCUGUUUGCGAGGGCACCGCAAAAGGACAUGACACUCAACAGACACACUGAGCCAGAACUCCCCCUGCCCACAGUCUCCAUCCCAGUGAGCACUGUUCUCCCCAUUGUGUGGCUGAUCACAGGGAUGGCAGAACUCCAGCUGAAGCUGGGGAGCGAGAAGGGAGGGUGGGCAGUGGAACUGGAGGAUGGAAAAGUUAAAAGAGUGAAGAUUUUUAUUUUUGCAAUGUGCCCCUCUGCUAACCAUUAUUUCAAGCUUCCUGAAUGGAAAUGAAUCAGGAAAUAGCCGUAGGACUAAUAAAAUCUUACUGGGGAACAGCUGGGGAUAGCAUCAUGGAUCAUUAAUAAUCCCACUAUUGUGUGGGGUCCCUGGCCAUACAUAAAACUGGCGAAUAUCUUUUUUCUCCCAGUGUCCCCACUCGUUAUUUUUGUGAACAACAAAAAUGUAGGUGCAGAGGUUAAAUGACUUGCCCAGGAUCACCUGUGUCCACCAAGGCAGAGCAAAAGUGUUCUUGUGGUUUAGUUUCUUCAUUCAAGCUGGGUGUUCGCCAUGUGGUUAGUUUUCCUGGCUGUGCCCUCUUGUCACCCUUCUGCCUGGAUGAACCCAGCUCCCUUUCAGUCUCAGUCCACAUGGCUCAUAUAUUCCUUUUGCACCCUGAGCCAGAAGGUGACUACUGUCAAACACAUUAUUGCUUCAGUUGAUUGACCUGGUUGGCCUGGCCUGAAUAUUGCCUUAAGCAAAAAACACAUCAAACCUUAAGAAAUGCAUUGUCUAUUAUUCUUCUCUUCUCUUCUUUAUGGUGAGGGACUUUUGCCCAUCUGGCCCUAAAUUUAAAAAAAAAAAAAUGCUCAUAUUGAUUUUUAGCUUCUCUUUCCAUUCAUUCAUUUAUCAGAAGAAUUUAUAAAAUAUCAGAAUUUAUUGAGCACUUACUACAAUGUCAGGUGCAAAUCUAUGUUGAAGUAGUGGCUCGACGAGUUGAGGGGGUCAGGAAGUUUCUCCCGUAUUCUAAACUAGGGUGAUUUAGCUUUAGCCAGGUGAAGAGAAGGCUGGAAGAGAUUCUGGCAGGCACAUAUACCUGGACACAACAGAAUAUAGGGCCCCUCUGAGAAAUGCCCAAGUGUUCAGUUGGCAGGAAGGAGGACUCAGAAAGAGAUGGCCAUGGAGACAUGAAACAGGGAAGGGAACGCUCUCCCUGGAACAGUGGGAAGCCACGAGGGAUUGAAGUACACAUGUUCCUAGCUCUGCCUCCUCUCCAAUCCUAAAACCCUGAUGGCCACAAGAAAAACACAGAUGUGUUUUGAAAAAAAAAACACCUGAUUACCUGGCACUGGCCUCCUUCAGGCCUGUUUAAAUGUGGUGUGAAUUGCCCUGGAAGCUGAGAAGACCGUGGAAAUUCACCUGCCUGGGGAUGAAAGAGAAGGGGCCAGGCUGAGAGGAGGUGAUGGUCCAGGGCAAGAUCUCUCACUCCAGGAGUAAAGUGCUCGUCUCUGGCAGUGCAAGGCCUGGGGUCAAUCCCCAGCACAACCAAAAAAAGAGUCAAUAAGUAAAUAAAAGUAAAAGAGUGGACCUGAACAGAAACUGUUAAGAGUGCUCCAGUGACCAAGAGAAGGGCACCAGGGAGCGAGCAGGGCCAAGGAGGAACAAUUCAGUCCUGAAGUCUGUGAUCCCCGGCCAAAUUCCUCGAGCGCCUCAGAAGGCACCGGGCCAUUCCUGGAAUUGAAGGGGAGUCAGAGCACAGGACUUGGGCUCUCAGCCUCUGAGGAUGUGUCUGGAGCAUCCCUCUGGAUUCCCUGUGCAUUCUCGGCCCAGGGAGCAGAAUCUUGGAAGUAGUUCCUUUGCUCUGCUCCUUUUGUUCCCUUGGCCUCUCCUUCCAUCCCUGUGCACGCCAGUUCCAAAAGCUACCCUGUCAGAUCCAUUUCACCACUGCUCCUGCUGCGUCAGGGCCCUUCCCCCUGCUGCCCACUUAUGAGAGGCCUCCAGGACAGGGGAGGAGAGAGAGGCUAAAUCCUAUGAUUGAUGGAUUGUUAUGGUUUGGAACUGGAAUGUCUCCCAAAGUCUCACAUGUUCAGAGGUGGACUCUUGGGAAGUGAUCGGAUCAUGAGGGCUCUGACCUCACCAGUGGAUUAAUCCAUUUAGUGAAUUAAUCCAUUUAGUGGAUUAAUACUUUGAAAGGAAUACUGUGAGGAGGUAGAAACUGUAGACAGGUGGAGCAUGGUUGGAAGAAGUAGGUCACUGGGGGCCUGACCUUGGGGACUAGAUCUUGUCCCUGGCCCCUUCCUCAUUCUCUUACUGCUUUCCAGCUGCCAUGAGCUGAGCAGCUUUCCUCCACCACACCCUUCUGCCUCACCUCAGACCCAGAGCAGUGGAGCUGGCCGACCUCCCACUAAGACCUCUGCAACUGUGAGCCCAAAUAAAUAUCUUCCCUAAGUUGUUUUUCUCAGAUAUUUGUUAUUGUGAUGCAAAGUUGACUAACACACUGAUGAUAAUGAUUUUGCCUCGGGGCAUUUUCAAGGGCUGCUGUGUUGGCCUGGACCCUCUCAAGAUAUCUGCCUUCUUGCUAAGGCCCACUGUGUCUUGUUAGUACUAUCUUCUUGACCAUUCCCCCUUAACUUUUGUUUCUUUUUUUUUUCUAGGUGUCUAUUUUAUGAUAGUCUAUGCAAUCGACUUAUUUACUGUACUUACUGCUUAUUGUCUACUUCUCUGAACUAAAUAUAAAUUCACUGGGGGCUUGAUGCCUUUUGAGUGUGAAAAGGGGAUGCAACAAGCUAAGUUUGGGUGCUUGCAGGCCACAACAACUCAGAGAAGCAGGAGCUAUCUUGCCAGUUGGCAGGACUUGUGGUGAGUGCACAGGGUCAAGGAUGCACCGGGUGGGGAGCGCUGUCUCAGCCAGAUGAUGCAUUACUGUCUCAAAGAUUAUUUUCAUGUCCCGUUGGCAGUGGACUCUGAUACCAUCAAAUGCACCAUGAAAUGUGCAGGACCCAUCCUUGCUCCAGGGUCCUCAGAGGUAUUCACCAUAUUCAUUACAUUCCUCUUGGACACACAGAAAUGAAGCAAAACAUAAGGAAUUGGCCUCUGAUAGUUAUCAAGGAUCAAAGAGAAAAGGUCUGGUGUCAGUAGGCAGAUGUAUCAACAAAUGCUUUUAAGAUGAAGGUGGAUUUCUGAGCCCUGAGAACUGUCCCUUGGUAUGAACUCUCAUGAAGUCAGAAGAUGGCAAGCCAGAAAAUGUGGACCAUGCUCCAAUCAACAAGGUCAGCAAAGAAUUCCCAUGCAGGAAGUCAUCUAUUUUUAAUAUUGCAAUUGCUUUCCUGUUUUCCUUUAUUCGGUAUGUUACCACAGGAGCCCCAUUCCAAGAGUUUUGUUUGAAUGUUUUCCUCUCCCACUUUUCUUUUUUAAAUUUGGAUGCAGCCUUGUAUUUCCAGAGAGCAAAUGUUCUCUCGUUAUUUUAAGAAAACCGGGAGGCUGGGUCAUCUGUCAGGCUGAACAAUGCUGGACUGAUCUAGUGUCAGGGUCCCAAAGGUGGUGCUUCUAAAUGAGAACAUUGAAUGGGGGCUUCCUCUGUGGAGCAGUGUGAAAAGGGGAUGCAGUAAGCAAAGUUGAGGUGCAUGCAGGCUAUACCAGCUUAGAGAAGUAGGAGAUGUCUUGCAAGUGGGACGGUCUUGCCGUGGGGGUCCCACGUCCAGUCCCUACUCCACUGCUGUCUCACCACGCCCUCAUGAAGCUGAAGGGAGACAUUCCUUUCAUGCCCAAAGCCGUCCAAGCCCCUCCUGGAUGUGUUUUUCUGGCCAAUUAUCUGUUCUUGGGCUGGAGUUUUGUAAAUCUUGUAUUUUCCAAGCACUAGCAUUUCAAAGUUUUCAGCAACUGCUUGAUUAUCACUCUGCAACGGACCUGUCUGCUCUUCCUUUGAUGAUUAGCCUUCACAGUGCCAAGGCUGCCAAAGGCUGGGAGGGAACAGAAGCAAAAACAACGAAGAGAUUUCCUGAACACAGACUCUUUAUUGUACUGCAAUUAAUGUGGAGCCACUUCUUGGCCUGGCUCAUGCAGAAUUCGCUGGGUACCAAAUUCCCCAGAUCUGUCCUCACCUCUCUGUGGCUGAAGGAUUUGGAGUUGAGUUGAGCUGAUAGAUUCUUGAAACUUCUUGGAAGCUACUCCCUGACUGUCAUGCAGUCCCCUUGGCCUGGGUUAGGCAGCAUUUCGGGUUCUGUAGCUAUAGUCCCAAGAAAGGCACGUCCCUCUCUGGGAAGCAGCUCCUGGACUUCCUGCCUUGACCUUGCAGAUGUUUCCUCAAUCUCUCCCGGAAGUCCGGAUGGUCCGGUGCCCCCCGCCCCCCCCCCAAGUCCUAGAUUCUUGCCCCCAACUUCUAUCUGUCUCUUGUUUGGUUUCUGUAAGUUGUGUUCAGAUAUCCAGGGUGGUGUCCCUUUGCCAAUAACUGGCUCUACUAUUUUCUAGUGACUUCGGCAGACCUCCAAGAGGAAUGGCCUCACAGGACAGAAAGCACCCUCACCUUUCCCCAAGGUGAGGAUUAGUGUUCUAAGAAAGCAAGGACUGCAGAGCACCUUAUUCAAAAUGAUACCAAGCACUAAGCAAUUAAUUCAAAUGCUGCCUCCUCUCAGAAAAGAGAUUAAAUAACUCCUUGUUGCCCAAGGCAGAAGCCCAGCCACAGCUCACGCCACCAGUAUCCUCUCUAAAGCAGGACUUAAGUUUUAGGAAAACAAACCAGUCUAUCUUACAAGAGUCUAGCAAGCUGAGUGUAGUGGUGCACACUUGUAAUCCCAGCAGCUCAGGAGGCUGAGGCAGGAGGACCGCAAGUUUGAAGCCAGCCGCAGCAAUUUAGUGAGGCCCUAAGUAACUUAGUGGGACCUUCUCCUAAAACAAAAAAUAAAAAGUUCUGGGGAUGUAGCUCAGUGAUAAAGUGUCUCUGGGUUCAACAUCCUCCCCACAAGGAGUCAAGCAAAUAGCCCCUUGUUUUUGUUAGACACUUAACAUUGUUGCCUUGGGCAUCCAAGAGCUUUGAAAAUUUUAUUAUUUGAGCCAGAAGUGGUUGAUUAAUAUUCUAAAUGUUAUGCUAUAAACUUGUUCUACAAAUACAUAAUGACAAAAUAUAAAUUUAAAAUCGAAUAGCAGGUCCAGAGAAAUAAAAUCAGAAUGAAUGCAGAGUGGGGAGGCGUGAAGCAGAAAGGGUUGACACAGUUAAAAUAACUCUACAGUAAAUUUGCCUCAGAGCUUUCUGAUAGUCAAAGCAAAGAAGGAAACAUGGUCAUUUACAGAGGUGUUAUUAUCCAGUAGGGGAGAAUGACCCUUUCCUCAGGAAAUAAACUCUUCUGCUCAUGUCUCAUGGAGGUCUGCAGCAAGUGAACUAAUGAUUUCCAUAAAGUUAUCCAUUUCAGGAUGGAUCCAUGAAGUGCAUGCAACCUUGGGUAGGUUUUGAAACCUCUCAGACAGCAGUUCUGUCUACCUCACCUCCACCCUAGCGCUGGACAUUGAACCCAGAAUUCCUUUAUGACUGGGCUAGAUUCCCAGCACUUUCUGUUUUAUCUUGAGACAGGGUCUGGCUAAGUUGCUGAGGCUGGUUUUUAAUUUGUAAUCCUCCUGCUUCAGCCUCCCAAGUAGCUGGGAUCACAAGUAUGUUCCAGUAUACUCAGCUGGGACAGAAGUUCUAUAUUCAUUUUGGGGGACUCAUCACCCAUGCCUGAGUGGAGCUGAGAUUGAUUCAUUUUAAUGAGUAUAUCUAAAGAUAUCAUGUAUGAAACCAAUCUGUGCUGGGUGCUCUUGGAAUAUAAGAUUAAAGAGACAGAGAGAGAAAGACAGAAUGUGGGGAGAGGGUAGGGGAGGGAGGGAGAUACACACACAUGUACACACACACACACACACACAGGCAGUAUGGAAUUUUUUGUCCCUGGUUUCAUAGCCCGGUAAAGGGGACACAUAAGAUACCCAAAUAGUUCUUAUACAAAAUAGCUUGUUGUCGUAGUCAGUUUGGGUGGCUUAAAUGAUAGAGUUAUUUCUCACAGUUCUGGGGGCUGGGAAAUCCGAGGUCAAGGUGAAUACAGUUGAGGUCCUGGUGAGGGCCUUCUUCCUGAUGCGCAGAAGGCCACCUUCUCCUGUGACCUCACAUUGGAGAGAGCAGAGAGAAAGGAAGCUCUCACAUCCCUUCUGACUAGGGCACGAAUCCCAUCCAUAGCCCAAAGGCCCACCUCCUACGGUGUCACCUACUCACCUACGGGUUAGGAUUUCAACAUAUGAAUUUGGGGAGAACACACACAUUCAGUCCCUAAUGGUUGUGUUUAGUGUCACUGUGACUGUAUUUGCUGAACAAGGGACUGCUGGCCAUCCUUUCUUAUUUCUAUGUUAGAGGCUGAGUCCAUACAUUUCUGAAAUACUCAGACAUGGCCGUAGCUACAGAUGCCAGGAUUCUCUUGGACUGAUUGUUGAGGUCUGUGCCAUUCCCUACCCCAACUUCUCCAGCCUCUCCUCUCUCAAGCCAGGCACCAUGCCCCACAAGUAGGCCUGGGUACCUGCCCACCCUGGGGCCUGGGCCUGGCUUCUCCAUCAAACCACUUGGAUUGAGGCAAAGGAGUUGUGCCUGUCCAAGGGAAGUUAUAGGUUUUGUUAGAAUAAAGGUCUCUGCAAGUUGAGUGUCUAGGUCAAAGAUAUAGCAUGUGAUUUGCACGCAUGAGGCCCUGAGUUUAUCCAUUGCACCAAGAGAGAAAGAGAGAGGAAGGAAGGAAGGAAGGAAGGAAGAAGGAAGGAAGGAAGGAAGGAAGGAAGGAAGGAAGAAAGGAAGGAAGGAAAUAAGGCUGGCUUACAGGCUUCUGGGAAGCUCAGAAUGCAAAAAUCUGCCUGACUUUUCCCUUCUUCAAAGGUGACCUCUCUUUGUUCGUCUGGGUAAUUGAUUUUCUUCUGAGAUCCAUGUGACCCAAUUCAUUAACUCUUUCCAGUUGAAUUCCAGGGGCACACACUGAACUUUCACCCUUCAUUUAUCUCAUUAUUGGGAGAGAAACGGUUAACUGCAAUGAAAUCAUCAUUCUGCUUCCUCUUCUGACUAAAGCAGCUUAAUUUUAAAAUGUUCCCUGUCACCUGGCUGCUGUUACCAGGGAGCUCGGUGGAAACCCUCCAGCACUUGUGUAAUUCCUUAAAUUCUGUACUCCCAUUAUCCACCAAAGCCUGCUUGGUCACUUGACCCCAGGAGAGCAAGACUGAAAAAAAACAUAGCCACUAAGAGACUCACUGGGAAAAAUGAUUCAGCUCUCCACAUGAAUUAUGGCAUAAGACCAAGGAAUACUCCCACGUCUCCUGGGAAUGGGGGAGCUCCCUGUGGAUGUGUGGUGUAGCCAAGGGGACUUGGGGGGCUGCACUUUUGAUGUGUAUUCUUUUCUUCUCGCAAUCUGGAUUGAAUGAUCACUCUUUUUCUGUUUCAUCCUGUGAUUGUAGGAGGUCAGGUAACUAGAGGAGCUCCUCAGGGUAGAGAUGCCUCUCUGUUCAGAACAUGUGGCAUAGUCCCAAAUGUUUGUCCUGGUCAGGAAGAUGUCUGAACAGUAGCACUGGAAAUGGAGGGAAAGGAUACCCAGAUAUCUCUAUCAUCCCGUAAAGUCAAUUUUCUACACUGCAUAUGUAGUAUGUUACCAUCGCAAAGCAUUCUUGAGACAUGCUAACUACUGAUCAUGUCUUCCGUAUCUACACAGAACAGACAUACCUGCUUAAUUUUGUGGUAGGCUAGAAAUCGUCUUUCCCUCAUCUCCAAAACCCUUUUGAAAGUUGUCCCCUCGGUUGUCCCCUUACACCCUGAAACUCAACAUGUCUAAAAGGCCCCAGAAUCACCUUUGCUGUCUCCAUUCCUUUUUCUCUAAUCUGUUUGUGUAUCAACCCAUCUUCCCCUCAAUAAAUAUUUUGUUGCAAUAGGAUCAUGUGACAUACUUGGUGUAUGAUGGGGAGGAACAGCAGACACGUCCCUGUCUCAGGGAGGUUCCCAUCUGAUAAAGGAGAUAAGCGCUGCUCAAUUCCGAGGAAGCGUAGCCAGGAAGUGCUGCAGGAUAAGCCAGCCCAGAGGAUCCUUCAUGCACAACUGCUUUCCAGCCUGUUCACUCUUCCCCUUCAUCAUAGCCACAAGCUUUGGCCAGGCCUU
rnacentral:lncRNA from 1 species